rnacentral:rRNA from 1 species
AUUGAACGCUGGCGGCAGGCCUAACACAUGCAAGUCGAGCGAGACCUUCGGGUCUAGCGGCGGACGGGUGAGUAACGCGUGGGAACGUGCCCUUUGGUUCGGAAUAGCCCCGGGAAACUGGGAGUAAUACCGGAUAAGCCCUACGGGGGAAAGAUUUAUCGCCAAAGGAUCGGCCCGCGUUGGAUUAGGUAGUUGGUGGGGUAAUGGCCUACCAAGCCGACGAUCCAUAGCUGGUUUGAGAGGAUGAUCAGCCACACUGGGACUGAGACACGGCCCAGACUCCUACGGGAGGCAGCAGUGGGGAAUCUUAGACAAUGGGGGAAACCCUGAUCUAGCCAUGCCGCGUGAGCGAUGAAGGCCUUAGGGUUGUAAAGCUCUUUCAGUGGGGAGGAUAAUGACGGUAUCCGGAGAAGAAGCCCCGGCUAACUUCGUGCCAGCCGCCGCUGUAAAGC